rnacentral:sRNA from 1 species
GCCAGGCAUGGUGGCUCAUGCCUGUAAUCCCAGAGGCUCAGGAGUCUGAGGCAGGAGGAUUGUGAGUUCAGAGCUAGUCUCAGUGAUUUAGUGAGGCCCUAAGCAACUCAGUGAGACCUUGUCUCUA